CCUACGGGAGGCAGCAGUGAGGAAUAUUGGUCAAUGGGCGCGAGCCUGAACCAGCCAAGUCGCGUGAGGGAUGAAGGUUCUAUGGAUCGUAAACCUCUUUUAUCAGGGAAUAAAGUGUGGGACGUGUCCUAUUUUGUAUGUACCUUAUGAAUAAGGAUCGGCUAACUCCGUGCCAGCAGCCGCGGUAAUACGGAGGAUGCGAGCGUUAUCCGGAUUUAUUGGGUUUAAAAGGUGCGUAGGCGGGCUUUUAAGUCAGCGGGGAAAGUCUGGGGCUCAACCCUAAACUUGCCGUUGAAACUGGGGGGCUUGAGUAUGUGUGAGGCAGGCGGAAUGCGUGGUGUAGCGGUGAAAUGCUUAGAUAUCACGCAGAACCCCGAUUGCGAAGGCAGCCUACCAAGCCAUGACUGACGCUGAUGCACGAAAGCGUGGGGAUCAAACAGGAUUAGAUACCCCGGUAGUC
rnacentral:rRNA from 1 species